GGAGAGGUGACCGAGUGGCCGAAGGUGCUUGCCUGCUAAGCAAGUGUAGAGGUAACUCUACCGAGGGUUCGAAUCCCUCCCUCUCCGCCA
rnacentral:tRNA from 1 species